rnacentral:piRNA from 1 species
ACAAUGGAAGCCAAUGGUUACC